GUAACAAGGUCUCCGUUGGUGAACCAGCGGAGGGAUCAUUACAGAGUUACUACUCCAAACCCAUUGUGAACCUUACCUAUGUUCUGUUGCCUCGGCGGCGUGGUCAGCGCCCCUCUGAAAAGAGGACGAUGCCCUCCCGCCGGCAGCACCAAACUCUUUGAAUUUUACAGCGGAUUACAGUUCUGAUUUGAAAACAAAAAAACAAGUUAAAACUUUCAACAACGGAUCUCUUGGUUCUGGCAUCGAUGAAGAACGCAGCGAAAUGCGAUAAGUAAUGUGAAUUGCAGAAUUCAGUGAAUCAUCGAAUCUUUGAACGCACAUUGCGCCCGGCAGUAAUCUGCCGGGCAUGCCUGUCCGAGCGUCAUUUCAACCCUCGAACCUCCGUUUCCUCAGGGAAGCUCAGGGUCGGUGUUGGGGCGCUACGGCGAGUCUUCGCGACCCUCCGUAGGCCCUGAAAUACAGUGGCGGUCCCGCCGCGGUUGCCUUCUGCGUAGUAAGUCUCUUUUGCAAGCUCGCAUUGGGUCCCGGCGGAGGCCUGCCGUCAAACCACCUAUAACUCCAGAUGGUUUGACCUCGGAUCAGGUAGGGUUACCCGCUGAACCUAAGCAUAUCA
rnacentral:misc_RNA from 1 species